AAGAGUAAAAUCAAAAUAUUUAAUAAAAGAUUAAUAUUUAAAUUGAUACUAAAAUAAUUUAGAUUUAAACUAGGAUUAGAUACCCUAUUAUACUAAAUUUUAAUAAAAACUAAAAUAUUAUAAGAUAUAACCUUUAAAUUUAAAGAAUUUGGCGGUAAUUUAGUCUCUUCAGAGGAACCUGUUUCUUAAUCGAUAAACCACGAAAAAUCUUACUUAAGCUUGUAUACCGUCAUUAGCAGAUAAUAUUUAGAGAUAAAUUAUUAAAUUUUAAAAAUUAAAAUAAAUUAGAUCAAGGUGCAGCUUAUGAAUAAGUUGGAAUGGGUUACAAUUAAGUUUAUAUAAAUAUGAAAUAAGAUUUAGGAAGGAGGAUUUGAUUGUAAUAGGAAUUAAUAAGAUAAAAAGAUAUAAGCUCUAAAUUAUGUACAUAUCGCCCGUCGCUUUC
rnacentral:rRNA from 1 species